GCCUGAGCACCAGGAAGUUCUAGAAGCAGCACAUGGAGAGAGAUGGAGUGAACCAAAAAAGGGGCAAAAACAGCCUGUCUGCAGUAGACAAGGCUUGCCCAGGUGUCCCGUCUGAGCCCAGAGCCAAUCUCCUUAUUGCCCUUAAAAAAAGGUUGUCUUAAGACUCAGUAUUCCAAUUGUGUGCUGUUAACUUUGUUCCCAAGGGUAAUUCCCUACUAGGACUUCACCCUUCAUAAUGAAAAUUAAACAAGUUAAGUCUGAGUGUGAGUGUGCGUGUGUGUGUGUGUUUUAAAAAAAAGAGAGAGAGGUAAUCUUUAAGCACAGGCACAGCUAACUAGAUGUAACCCUUCCUGGUCCUAUAGGCUUGGCAGAGAAGAAAAUAAAAAGACAUUCUGAGACAAUUUGAAAGAAAAGAUUUUUAAAAUGCAAAACAGCAAAGAUCACCAAACAAGGAUGGGACAAUAUUAACCCAUCUUCCAAGCUGGAUCAUUCUUGCUGUGCCAGGAUGGGUGAGCUUCAUACAUUCAGAAACUGCCAAGACCCCGAAGGGAGUGCAAAGGAACCCUUUGCAAGAUGAGCUGAACCAAGGGACCAGAAAGAUGCCCACCUCAGGUGCUGCUUGUAUUGGGUAAGGCUUUGGAACCAUCUCACUUAUGGUCCAGAUUUGACAUCUUGGAUAACUGAAUCCAAGAAACACGUAAACAAGAUCUGACUGGACCUGCAUGUCUUUGUCUAUCAUCCUUUCUUCAUUUUCUGGAAUGUGUCAUUCAUUACCUCCAUGCUAAGAAUUAUAUCUACUUUUAGUCUCAAAGUCUUCUGUGUUUCUUAAGGGAUGCUCGAUAUAACCUUUUUUUUUUUUUUUUUAGCUUGCUAUUUCAAGGCUUCAUUCUACACCACUAACUUGUGGUUAAAAGAACUGUUUUUGUGGUUGUUUCUGUAUUAUCUGUUUGGGUUUUUUUGUUUGUUUGUUUUUUGUUUGUUUCUUGUUUUUUGUUGCUAUC
rnacentral:lncRNA from 1 species